GAUGAAGAACGUAGUGAAAUGCGAUACUUGGUGUGAAUUGCAGAAUCCCGUGAACCAUCGAGUCUUUGAACGCAAGUUGCGCCCGAAGCCAUCAGGUUGAGGGCACGUCUGCCUGGGCGUCACAUAUCGUUGCCCAAUGCCUAUUGCAGUGCAAUAGGAAUUUCUAGGGCGAAUGAUGGCUUCCCGUGAGCGUUGUUGCCUCGCGGUUGGUUGAAAAUCGAGUCCUUGGUAGGGUGUGCCAUGGUAGAUGGUGGUCGAGUUAGAACGAUACCGAUCAUGUGCAUGCUCCCCAAAAUAUGGCCUCUAUGACCCACACGCGUCUUUUGACGCUCAUGACGAGACCACAGGUCAGGCGGGGCUACCCGCUGAAUUUAAGCAUAUCAAUAAGCGGAGGA
rnacentral:misc_RNA from 1 species